rnacentral:rRNA from 1 species
AAGGGCACCACAAGAACGCGUGGAGCAUGUGGCUUAAUUUGACUCAACGCGGGAAAUCUUAUACGAUUGUAUUCCUAACUGAAUAUGAUUAGUUGGUCGCUAGUUCGUGGAGUAAUCUGUCUGCUUAAUUGCGUUUCGUACAAAGUAAUGUGGCGGCAUCUAAAACAGUUUCGUUUGUGCGAACCUGUGUCGUAGUUUGGAUUUCAGACAAGUGUUAUUAACUUGACACGGUCUGAGUUGGUAACAUUUCCAGUAACCAUUUCAACUAUACAUACCACUGCUUUUUUUCUCUAACGUGCUACAAUGAUGAGCACAGUGUGUGCCUUUGUUGUGUCUCCAUGGUGGAAAUCAUUUUUUUACGAAAGCCUUUGUUAAAUCUCUUAUUCCAGUGAACAUUUUUGCGACAUUACUUCCCUAUUGAUCUCUGGAUUGUAGUGAUACUUUAAACGCCUAUCCUUUUGGUUAAGCGAUCGGGUAGGGACAGACCUUUGAAAUUCUCGGUCUCGGUCUUAACCAGGAAUGCCUCGUAUCGCUCUUACCGAUUGUCUGUGUUGUGAGUAUUCGCGAUAGAACUACUGACUAGACUAUAUAAAACGUCUACGAACAAUGUG